GAAAAACUGUAAAUAAGGCUCACAUUUCUUAUUUUUUGUUUUUGGUUCUAAUUGCACGUGCAAUUACUCCAUUUAAGGGAAUGAAAGGAUUCUAAAUAUAUGCAGACAAUAUUAUUUCAUUUUUUUUGUUCAAUUAUCGGGUAAGUAAAUACAUUUUGCAGCUUGCAAUAUCAUCGACGUAAGACCGCACAAGAUAUUCAACUUCCCUGUUGCAAAAUGAUGAGCUUUUUCAUGUUAUCUGUGUCUAUAAAAAUAUAUAGCACAAAGAGUUUAAAAACUGCUCAUUGCAUUGUACAUACCAGGUUUUUCAAAACGUUUUGGUAGAACUAUGAAAAGUGCACAGUGAUAUUCUGGUCUGAAAUGCCCUCCCCCUCCCCUCUUUGAAGAUAUUUACUUGGUGGUCCUUUUCUUGCCGUUUUGUCAGAGUCCAGUAAGGUUCCCCAUCCACGUCUUACUUAAAAGGGGACAAUUGAGGGUUUUGCAUGCAAGUUCACGCUUCUUUCCUUUGUUUUAUUGCAGCUUCAAUGAAGCGAAUCGUUAACUGACCAUGCAAGAAUAGCAUUUGACCAGAGUUGUCUGUUUGAGACCCAAACAGAAUCCCUAUCACUAAAAAACAUUUGGCUACAAUUUUUUUAAAUUAUUUAUUACUAAAUGCUAUUCAAAUCAGUUGUGGUCUGUGCACAGUGUAGAAUGAUAAUAUGUUGUACUGAACGAUGUGCUGUUUUCAAGAAUUCGUAUCCUUUCCUUUAGACUACUUCAACUUGUAUUUGUGGAAAUAUAUUACAUGCAACAUGUGAAUCUUGGAGGAAAGAUGUCUGAUGUAUCUGAGUAAAUACUUGCACAUAUGACUCGUCGUCAUGCUUAUACAGAGACCCGGUAUUCCCGGUACUUAUUUCCUUGUGUAACACAAAGGCACUGAGUGUUUUAACAUCGCGGUGAACUCAAACCCGAUGGUGUUUCAUCAUAUAGUUGAAUAUAAUAUGGUGGAUAGAUGCAGAUUCUCAAAACUUGUAUUACUUCCUCAUUGGCCGACUGGAUUCGAUUUUUUUUUCUGUUUGUUUAAGUGCCUCACACUAUAAGAGAACACUUUAUGUGUUUAUAGCGCCAAUUAUUAGUCACUCAUAGGGUUACGGCGAAAAUUACAACUCUGCUGUACCUUUGCAAGUUAUACAAGUAAGCAUCUGCGUUACGUUUCACAUGGACCAAUUAAAAUCGAGAUAUUGCUGGACAUUUGCGCGGUGACGUCACUACGCCAGCCACGUUGUAAGGCUAAUCCCCGCGAAAUUCAAAGUCAAUAUGACGGCGGUGUUCAACGAUAUCACCGAUCUGAGACGAGUUUACACCGCUGCGAUCGACGUCUUCACGAGGAAACAGCGGCGGGUGGAUUUUACGUACAAAUAAUCGACUGAUCGGUGAGUCAGAAACUAAACUUCGGGGUUAAUAUUGAAGUGUGGUGCUGACGGUCCGACCGGCGACCGGUACCCGGCGAGGGGGCGGCGCUGACGGUCCGGCGGCGCUAGUCGGACACCUGCGGCGGGCAGGAUGCGGCCGCGAGACUGAGACACCUGCCCUCACCAGCGCUGUUGUGGUUUUCAUUCAACAGAUUCUGUACAACCCGUCAUCCAACUGUUCGUCUAACUAACGUACGGCUCCCAGCCUCGGACACUCCUGCACAAGUCGACAAAAUAGUCUUUCCCAGGUGGGAGAUGACCGUGCAGCCGUGCAGACCGUGCAGUUUACACCGCUGUGAUCGACGUCUUCACAAGGAAACUAGUCGGACACCUGCGGCGGGCAGGAUGCGGCCGCGAGACUGAGACACCUGCCCUCACCAGCGCUGUUGUGGUUUUCAUUCAACAGAUUCUGUACAACCCGUCAUCCAACUGUUCGUCUAACUAACAUCUAACAAGGCAUCUGGCCUGGAUAGUACAGACUUUCACACGAUUGGCUGAACAGGUGCUGGCAGCUAAUAAAAAGGACCUGGAUCUUCUCCGGAUGUCUGUCAAUGACGAGAUUAAUCUUGCCGCUCUGGAGGAAGAGGAAGGACUCUGUGACAGCGAGGCGGCCGACCGAGGAAAAGGCUGCUGGUGUUAGAGAGACAAUUCAGAUCUGAUCGUCUGUUACCACUGGACACUUCGCACACUAGGCAAAACGUUUCUUUUUGUCGUUAGUUGAAAUAAAGUGAAAACAUUGA